AUACCAUGGUGAGGGCACUUUCAUAAUUCUUCCUUAAAUCGCUCCAAAACCUCAUAAAGAAAUUCUUCAUCAAGUUGUUGAAUCUAGUGAUUUAAUUUCUUAGCUU
rfam:Gossypium raimondii Chr12_contig_360, whole genome shotgun sequence.